GAGGCUCGACGGAACGUUAUUUUGACCCCAGUAUUGGCAAAGUUGUGGUGUACAAGUUAGUGUUAGGGCGUGAUGUUACUCUGAGCUGGUACCCCGUUACCCUUUGGGGUCGCUAGGGCUGACAGAUCCCCUAGCUUACACUCAUAUUGUACACCCGCAAAACGCCAAUACAUAGGGUCAAAAAUAUCAAAUAUCUAUUUUACUGCUGCCGUAUAUACCCUCUUUGGGGAUAUAUAUAGGCAGUUCAUUUUAGUCCUGAUCCCUAAUCAGUAUUAAAAAAUGUAUAAAUAUGUAUUGAAUUGUACCGUUAUUAAUUUCAGGGCUAUUGAAGUGAAUGAGGUAAUGGUUGGAAGAGGCAUCGCUUGAAAGGAGCCUACUGGUGAUGCGGAAAUGUGGAGGAGACUACCGUUGUGAUGGGACCAGUGGUGGACCGAUGAAUCAAGUCUUAGACGAUGCAGAGCAGAAGGUAAUACCGGAGUGAUUGGCAGGACCCCUGGGCUGUCUGGAAGUUGAAUAGUGAGACGCUUCAACUUCAUUAUUCGUGAACACUUGGCAAACCGACUACGGAAGGCGCACAAGGUACACCAUUGAUGAAGGAAAAGGGAUGGAGCGUGAGGGCAGACUACUGCCCCCAUGAGGUGGACACAUUCGUAGUUACAGCGGGCAGCCGCCACGUUCGCCAUUGUGGGUUUUGGGUUCCGCGCGGCUGUCCCUGGCGGGAUUGUGGGUGCUCCGGCGGAACCCGGAAAUUGAUAAAAUAUUUCUUAGCUAUCUGCAGGCUUGAUUAUUUUCAUUACAAAUCAUGUCAGUUUAAUGUAGUACCUAUAGAUGUAUUGUUUAAUUGUAAAUUGUUUUAAGUUUAUAAAUAAGGAUGAAUCAUUAAGUAAUGAUUAAUACAUUGUUAUGCACUAGUCAAUAAAUAUUUAUGAAUCAUCGUAAUUAUUU